UACGUAGGGGCCUAGCGUUGUCCGGAAUUAUUGGGCGUAAAGAGCUCGUAGGCGGUUCGGCAAGUCGGAUGUGAAAUCUCCACGCUCAACGUGGAGGGGCCAUUCGAAACUGCCGUGACUCGAGUCCGGUAGGGGAGUGUGGAAUUCCCGGUGUAGCGGUGAAAUGCGCAGAUAUCAGGAGGAACACCAAUUGCGAAGGCAGCUCGCUGGGACGUUACUGACGCUGAGACGCGAAAGCGUGGGGAGCAAACAGG
rnacentral:rRNA from 1 species